GUGGGGAAUAUUGGACAAUGGGCGAAAGCCUGAUCCAGCCAUGCCGCGUGUGUGAAGAAGGUCUUCGGAUUGUAAAGCACUUUAAGUUGGGAGGAAGGGCAGUAAGUUAAUACCUUGCUGUUUUGACGUUACCGACAGAAUAAGCACCGGCUAACUUCGUGCCAGCAGCCGCGGUAAUACGAAGGGUGCAAGCGUUAAUCGGAAUUACUGGGCGUAAAGCGCGCGUAGGUGGUUUUGUAAGUUGGAGGUGAAAUCCCCGGGCUCAACCUGGGAACUGCCUCCAAAACUGCAUGACUAGAGUACGGUAGAGGGUAGUGGAAUUUCCUGUAUAGCGGUGAAAUGCGUAGAUAUAGGAAGGAACACCAGUGGCGAAGGCGACUACCUGGACUGAUACUGACACUGAGGUGCGAAAGCGUGGGGAGCAAACAGGAUUAGAAACCCGGGUAGUCC
rnacentral:rRNA from 1 species